rnacentral:lncRNA from 1 species
AUAUAUAAUCUAGAAUUAUAAUACAUUUAUAUAUUAUUUCUUAAUCUUCAGGUCGAUCUGGAGCAUUAAUAUGCUCAGUCAUAGAUGUCAGUUGAUCAGAGCAAGUCUUAGCUCCCACUUUAACAUUAAAACCUAAAAGAGAAUAUGUUGAUUUAAAAUAAGCAGGCACACCCUAGAGUGCAAAGAAAAUUUUAGAGUUGAAUUAAAUCUCAUUCUGCUGUGGCUGACACCAGACACCCUUGUGACAUGAGGACUUCAGAGAUCAGCCUUCCCUUUACAACAGAGAUGUUGCAAAAAAAUCCAUCAUUAAACAGAAUUCUUGCUCCAUCAAGCUGCGGUCAGUGGAGAUGGGCAGCGGGUACAGUCACUCCUCCAGCGCUCCCUGUGCUCUCGCAGAGAUGACUGCUGGCCUCUGAGAGCUCCUCUGGAGCAGGGAUGAGUCACUGCCCAAGGGUAAACAGUGAAUACUAUGAUGACACUCACGUUUGAAAGACAGUGAGGUAGAACAAACAAGGUAAUUUCUUAAUAAAUAUU